AGGUCAGCCGCAACCCGUUGUUCAGUGAUCCGGCAGGUGGCCGAUCAUUGGCUGAGCGGCCUUGUCAGUCGGCGCGGCCUCCGGCGCCGAUUGGCGGCUACGGAAGACCGCCAGGGUCUCCAACAUGGGUGGAUAGGCCCCGCCCACAGCCCCCCAUGCCAGCCAAGAGCCAUAGGCCCACCUGUUCUCUACCUGCAAAUGAUACUCCCAGAAAUGAAGAAGACACCAGGGCCAUGGGGACCACGGGACGCCAAAUGCUUCAGACCAAACCUCAAUCCGGAAGUCUUCUCAAUUGACACUUCCCAUUUCCCUUUUUGAGAAAAGAAACCCAGAGGGUGUCACCUACUGGUGCAAUAUUAAAAUCACAUUUAAAUCUG